UAAUUUCUUUAACUUUAAUCUUUUUCCUCUAAGAUUAAUGCUGAGUUUCUGCGGAUUACUACAAUCCCUCUCCAGACCAAAUUUCUUGCACAGCUGGACAAAUAUACCAAUAAACUGACAAGCAUCAUAAGACAUAAAGGAGGAGCUGCCCGCUAUAAGACUGCCAGUUUCUUUCAAGCCGUAGAUCAGAAAAAUGAUGUAAACAUCAGAAGAGAGUUUGUGCUGAGGUCACUUAUUAUUUACCUUGGUGAGGAUGACAAGGAUCUUAUCAAAGAAUAUCUGGAUACAUUAGGAGAUGAUGCUGAAAGAGAAAUGAAGACACUCAAAAUGGCCAUAUUUGUCAUCCGUAAAGUGGGUGAAGGACCCUUUCACACACCUAAAGAAGUUGCCAUUGUUAUUGAAGGUGUAGAGGUGUUAAAUGGACUACAGUCUGUUGCAGCAGCUUGUCCAAUAUUGUUUGGUCUAAUGUAUGCAAUAAAUCUUAGAUACCCUAAAGAGUUAAAACUCACUUUUGAAGUUUUCCAAAAAGUGUUUAUGGAACUGGAGGGAAAUAAGAAAUCUCCCAGCGUGCAGAACCUAAGCAGUAAGCUUCUCAGCUGAGAUUAAUUUGGCGAUAAAUGUAUUUAUGUCCAAGUUUUAAGACUACACCACAAAGCAGUUUAUUUGUAGAAUAUCAUUUGUUGCUUUUUGAAUUUGUCUUUAAACUCCUGUGAUAUUUUGUAUUGAUCUCCCUAACCAAGGUUAUAGUUGUGUUUUAGUUCUUCUAAUUAGUGUUUUGAAAGAGAACAUUCAUUGCACUAAGUCUAAUAAAGCAUUUGAAAGUUUAUUAUUCAAAAAAAAAUUACAGAAUUAACUAAACUGAAUUUGCAUUGCAUUACUUGAAUCUUUGGUAAAUUGUUCAAUUGGUUGUAUGUAUGUAUGUAUGUAUGUAUGUGUGUGUGUG